GUUUGCGCUGUAACAGUUUUUAUGUCAAGUAUGCACCAACUCGCCCAGAAAGAAGUUUUAAUUAAUGUCACAGAGCCACCGCGCUGCGAUCACUUCGGCGGCACGAUCCAAAUUUGUCGUACAUAUCAUUCUGUGCUGGAAACGCUGGGAGGCAGGAAGUUUGAAAAAACGGCAACUGCCGCCCGCAAUGUCUCGGUCGUGGGUUCGUUAUCCAGUUGUGCGUCAUUCUAAGCCGUUCUCUACAUUUAUACUGGAUAUUAACUGGAGUCAUUUAGCUGUGCUGAUGCUGUUUGCCGGGUGUUUUGCAUCAGUGCUUCGUUACAUCGGCUGUAUUGCGUGUUUUCGCCGACGGCUUACUACCACAAUGGCGGGAUCUGCGUUCGCCGCCUUCGUGUCUCGGUGCGUCUUUGUACGUCGCACGUUCGGAUAACACUUUUUCCGACGGCUGGACAUCCUUCUUGUACCGUGGCGCUAGGUGGAUGACGGGACCUCAUCAUGAUCAGUGUAUUGCUUGCCUAUGUCUACAAGAACCGUCACGCGUGGCCUGUGACAGCAAGCUUUUGUGGGCAGCAAGUGCUCUCCUACGAAGGCUGGCCUACUCUGGCAGCGGCGGCAAUCAUCUUCAAGAUUUAUCCAUGAUCACCUUUGCUGCUAUUUGUCACUCUUGUUAAUUACACUUUCGGCAUCUUUUCUAAUUUAUUAGGUAAUAAAGUAUGAGUAUGUGACAUGGUGUGAAGUUGAUAUCUUGCUGCAUUUUGGCUUGCAAUCACCUUUUGUCCAUGAAAAGCUCAUUGUACAGUUCAUGAAAAAAAUAACAGCAUAUUAUGAUUUAUCUUUCAGUUCUGGUAACAUGCAACGUACAAGGAAUUCACUAAUGGAUGGUAUGCCUAAGAACUGGCCAUUAUUUCUGCGUGAUGCUGUGCAAGCAUGUGGCGUCACCUUACAAGAGGCACCCAGAAAGUAAGUUCCAAUUUACUUUUAAAUGAAGCAUGGGCAUCAGAAAAAAUAUAUUUAUAUUGCUAGUUAGAGUGGUUCGCAGAGUGUUUUUCCAGAUGUGUACUAUCCUUUAUUUCUUAACUCAUUGCAGCACAGUGUUCUGUUUCGUAUACUGGUGUAAGGCUAUUGUGCCCCCUGCAGCUGAAACCAGGAUGUAAUUUUUGCCUCAACUGCAGCAUCACUGACAAAAUUUUUCUUUGCUAGAAACUAUUUCAAUUUGGUGGAGAUCCAGCAGGGCGAAGUUUUGUCAAUAAUGACGUGUUUCACGCAGAGAUGUUCUUGUUUAGGUCAAUGAGGGAACAUUGGAAUUAUAUCAGCAUACAAUAGAGAUCUUGUUUUAUUUGCAAAAUAAUUCUGACAGCCGGCAUUCAAUUGAUUGGUCUAAUUAAAAAGCACUAAUUGACCAAUGAGGCUAUACUACACUAUUCCCAUGGUUCACAUCUGGAAAAACUACCUGUGCAUCACUUUAUCCGACGAUAUAAACUUUUUUUUUUCUGAUGUCCAUGCCUCGCUUAAAAUAAAUUGUAACUGUGGGCAAACGUCGUGUUACUGUAACAGCUGCUGCAAAAAUUUGAGGGAAUGUCUAAUAAAAGUUUUCAGUUGUUCUUGCCAAGCUGUCCAUUAGCCAACUUUUAGCGUAACGUUAGCAGGGCUUACUGGAGUACUUCUAGACGUCCAUGGCUACAAAAUGUCUUGAUCAAGACAGUUACUAGGCUUUUGAAUUAGCCGUUCAAGACAUCUUUCAGACAUCAAAUAGCUGCUUGCGUGUUUCGUGGGUACCCUUGGGGCUUGCGACCCAUUUGCAACAACGGGCGUCUGCGCUGAGAUUACAACAACUCGUGCCAGCGGUGAGAUCGCAACAACUGGCUGGUAGCGGUGAGAUCGCGACAACGGAGGCCAGCUGCGAAGAUAUGCGGUUGACUGUAUGCUGAGCAGCACAACGACCAUCCGGGAGCAGUGCAACGAGCCCUGUGUGAUGAUUGGUUGCCUGCAGCGGAACGACUGCGCUGAAUUCUUGGCUGCGAGGUUUGGUGAGUGCGGGACUUUCUUCUUCUGAGUUUU